AGAGCUUCGAGAUGCCUUUGAGCAGGACAGUGCAGCUGUGUGCCUCUCUGAAGAUGUGUACCCCGAUAUCAAUGUCAUCACAGGCAUCCUCAAGGAUUACCUUCGAGAGCUGCCAACGCCGCUCAUCACCCAGCCCCUCUACCAGGUGGUGCUGGAGGCCAUGGCCCAAGGACACCCAAGCAGGGCUUCCCUGGGUCCUGAAGGCACCAGAGGACUCCUCAGCUGCCUGCCAGAUGUGGAGAGGGUGAGUUUGCCGCGCUAGGAACUUUGGGACAUAGAGAAGCUGAUACCGGUAUAGUGCUUUAAGCAUGCCUAAGAGGUAAUCAUCAUACAUGAUCAUCACAUGCCAACAAAGCACUUGGUAUUCAUCUGUCAAUUCCUGGGCUAAAAAAA
rnacentral:lncRNA from 1 species